rnacentral:sRNA from 1 species
UAUUAGCUGGCUUGCGUGAGGGAUUGAAACGGCAUCCUUUUUUUUUCAAAAAAAGAUAUAGUGUAAAGCCCAACCACGU